rnacentral:rRNA from 1 species
UACGUAGGGUGCAAGCGUUGUCCGGAAUUAUUGGGCGUAAAGAGCUUGUAGGCGGUUUGUCGCGUCUGCUGUGAAAUUUCGGGGCUCAACCCCGAACUUGCAGUGGGUACGGGCAGACUAGAGUGUGGUAGGGGAGACUGGAAUUCCUGGUGUAGCGGUGAAAUGCGCAGAUAUCAGGAGGAACACCAGUGGCGAAGGCGGCACUCUGGGCCGUAACUGACGCUGAGGAGCGAAAGCUAGGGGAGCAAACGGG